ACAAAAUUGUGCCACGUUCAAAGGUUCAUUUUCAGAAUAAAGCAGUUUUCUGUUUGAAAAUAAAGAGAUUGUUGUCUUGUGUCGCGCUCAUAUCAGAGAUGUGUUAAAAUAACCUGUCAGCGAUGAAAGAGAACAGAAGAUGCUGUUUAGCAUGUCAGAGGAGAUUACAUGACACCAAAGGUCAACGGACUGUCAAGAGGCGGAUUGGUCAGAGAUACGAAAGCCUCAGCUCCCCGACUGCUGCAAGACUGCGUUCAGACUGUAGUGGGGUGUUUGACCUUCCCUGAAGAAAAAAAGCCUCCAGCUGUUUGCAGGAUGGAGGAGCUCCAAAAGAAUCUGUGAAGGCUCGUGAUACUCACAAGACGAUUUGGCAACGGUUGGCAGGAGAAGGCGGACUACAAUAGGAGGGCGUGACAAUCGAGCACAGGUGCGCCAUUAAGAGGAAGGAGAACCAGGUGGGAGAAAUUUGAAGACAGACAAAAGCUCAUAUUGGUGGAACCCCCAUUCUAAUGCUGUGGACCUCCCCCCAUCGCGCCAGGAGGCCCAGCGUGUGGCCCCAUCCCUCGAGAGUCCCUCAGCCCCAGACGAGCAACCCACCACCACCACCCAUGAGUUCUGACCACCCCAUACCCCCAAGGGAGACCCUCCCCCAUGGUCCAGGAGAGAGCAGGGCAGGGCAUCCAAGAGAAGUGAGGCUCCCUGAAGAGUAUUGUAAAAAAUCAUUUUCCUGGAGACACACGCACCUUUCCAUCUUUGGUCAAUAAUCAUCUGAAAUAAAGUACACCUGUUAGAUCCGGCAGCUAUUGGAGACCAGCAUCAAGGCCAACCACUGUUGGAAGAUACGGUAGUAUGGGACUAUGUAGUACUCCUGUUUUUAAAGAAAUUCAAACACCAUGCCCAGUACUUUUUUUUUUCUACAUGACUGAUU